AAAGAUACCUCUGACCAAAUUUCUUAAUAUCCAGGUAGGCAUAGGCCAGAAUUUCAAGUUAAAUGCAACUGGUUGGAAAUGGAAGCUCACCACCUGUUUGGGUGGAGAUGGAGUUUCUCGGAUUCGGAAUAAGACAACACUUGGCUUGGUUCCUGGCCUGGAUUUUCGAUUUGGGUGGAGAGCUGAUUAUGUUCUUCCAGAAAUUACAGGGCAAGUUCCUUGAUGUUCUAUGAACUUGUAUUUAAGAAUAUUAUGUAAGCAAUAGGAAGAAGUGAUAAGCUCAUGUCUAGAAUAGUAGAAUAGUCUUUGA